rnacentral:misc_RNA from 1 species
CUCAAAUAAGAUCCAAAUGAACAGACAAAACCAAACAGAAAAGACUUCUCAAUGUCCAAUGAAGAAUUAUGGAGUCAACUUGUUAUGUCUUGCGUAUGUUUCCCAAAUUUUCUUGUCCUAUUCUCUUAUGGAGUAUUAGAGUAAUAUGCUUAUUGUAUGGUUUUUCAGGUUCACAACCUUUUACCCAAUUCACACAGAAACCUCUUUUCUUGACCACAUUGGUAAUGACACUAGCCGAGCAUUCAAGAUAUACGUUUGUCAUAUAUACCUUGUAUUUGAUUUUGUCUCUAGAGUUGACUAGUUUCUUACAAUCACUGAAUUUUCCUCUAUUGUUUAUCCACAUGAUGUAUUUUUUUUGCGAUACCAUGUAGAUUUUGGCUAUUGCUACUUCCGGAGAGCUCUCUCUUUGUUUGUGAAUUUGCUUCAUCCUUCUGGUGAAGCUCAUUUACAAGCAUCCUGCCAAAUGUUGGUUCUCUCAAAUUCUGAUUCCAAACCUGUACGCGUUCGCUGAUUCAACUGUCAUUUCGUUUCAUAAGCCUAUGACCUACCUUUAAGCGUUCGCGUUCGCCAGAUGACUCGAAUCUCCCGGAAUAUGAACCCGUGCAAAUCCUCUGACCAGCGACUAGCGGAACAGUUUGGAAUCACACAAACUAUUUCUACUUCGACUCAAGAAAAUAAGAAGGAGCAAAGCAUCAAAGACUAGCAUUGGUUUUUGCACACAAGCUUAACACAGAGUGUAAAUGGAUGGUGUGAUAUUUAUGUACCAUUUUCAUAAAAACUGAGACUUUUGUGAUUCAUAAGACUUUUUCAUCUAAAACUCUCUGAUGAUAGAUAAUCUACACAAUUCAGUGAAAUUGCCAGAUUACAGCCAUAGCCAUUGAUUCAAAAGCAAAUUCCUUUGGCAAAAACAGAUAAUUAUAAGAAUCAACCCAGAAUAUUCAAUUCAUAAUUAAGAUUCCGAUCCACAAAUAUCUCAUACAAACAAU